UCCACGCCGUAAACGAUGGAUACUAGCUGUUGGGGGCAACUUCAGUGGCUAAGCGAAAGUGAUAAGUAUCCCACCUGGGGAGUACGGGCGCAAGCCUGAAACUCAAAGGAAUUGACGGGGGCCCGCACAAGCGGUGGAGCAUGUGGUUUAAUUCGAUGAUACGCGAGGAACCUUACCAAGGCUUAAAUGUAGAUUGACCGAUUUGGAAACAGAUCUUUCGCAAGACAAUUUACAAGGUGCUGCAUGGUUGUCGUCAGCUCGUGCCGUGAGGUGUCAGGUUAAGUCCUAUAACGAGCGCAA
rnacentral:rRNA from 1 species